rnacentral:rRNA from 1 species
UGAGGAAUAUUGCACAAUGGGCGAAAGCCUGAUGCAGCAACGCCGCGUGAGGGACGAAGGCCUUCGGGUCGUAAACCUCUUUUCUGGGGGACGAGUAAGGACGGUACUCCAGGAAUAAGUCUCGGCUAACUACGUGCCAGCAGCCGCGGUAAAACGUAGGAGGCGAGCGUUAUCCGGAUUUACUGGGCGUAAAGCGUACGCAGGUGGCUUCGUUAGUCGGACAUGAAAGCUCCUGGCUUAACGGGGAGAGGUUGCUGGAUAAUGCGGGAGUUGGUGAUGGUGAGGGAGGGUGAAUAUCCUGGUGAAGUGUUGAAAUGCGUAGAUAUCGGGAGGAACACAAGUGGCGAAAGCGGCGUCCUGGUCCACACCUGACGCUGAGGUACGAAAGCGUGGGUAGCAA